rnacentral:rRNA from 1 species
ACGGGAGGCAGCAGUGGGGAAUAUUGGACAAUGGGCGCAAGCCUGAUCCAGCCAUACCGCGUGGGUGAAGAAGGCCUUCGGGUUGUAAAGCCCUUUUGUUGGGAAAGAAAUCCAGCCGGCUAAUACCUGGUUGGGAUGACGGUACCCAAAGAAUAAGCACCGGCUAACUUCGUGCCAGCAGCCGCGGUAAUACGAAGGGUGCAAGCGUUACUCGGAAUUACUGGGCGUAAAGCGUGCGUAGGUGGUUAUUUAAGUCCGUUGUGAAAGCCCUGGGCUCAACCUGGGAACUGCAGUGGAUACUGGAUGACUAGAAUGUGGUAGAGGGUAGCGGAAUUCCUGGUGUAGCAGUGAAAUGCGUAGAGAUCAGGAGGAACAUCCAUGGCGAAGGCAGCUACCUGGACCAACAUUGACACUGAGGCACGAAAGCGUGGGGAGCAAACAGGAUUAGAUACCCUGGUA